rnacentral:tRNA from 1 species
AGGAUGUAGCUCAGUGGCAGAGUGCUUGCCUAGCAUGCAUGAGGCCCUGGGUUCCAUCCCCAGCACUG